rnacentral:rRNA from 1 species
AUUGAACGCUGGCGGCAGGCCUAACACAUGCAAGUCGAACGGUAACAGGAAGAAGCUUGCUUCUUUGCUGACGAGUGGCGGACGGGUGAGUAAUGUCUGGGAAACUGCCUGAUGGAGGGGGAUAACUACUGGAAACGGUAGCUAAUACCGCAUAACGUCGCAAGACCAAAGAGGGGGACCUUCGGGCCUCUUGCCAUCGGAUGUGCCCAGAUGGGAUUAGCUAGUAGGUGGGGUAACGGCUCACCUAGGCGACGAUCCCUAGCUGGUCUGAGAGGAUGACCAGCCACACUGGAACUGAGACACGGUCCAGACUCCUACGGGAGGCAGCAGUGGGGAAUAUUGCACAAUGGGCCCAAUCCUGAUGCAGCCAUGCCGCGUGUAUGAAGAAGGCCUUCGGGUUGUAAAGUACUUUCAGCGGGGAGGAAGGGAGUAAAGUUAAUACCUUUGCUCAUUGACGUUACCCGCAGAAGAAGCACCGGCUAACUCCGUG